rfam:Gossypium hirsutum cultivar TM-1 chromosome 23, whole genome shotgun sequence
CUCAAGGAAGCGCUUUGCCUAUGUGGACAGAAAGCGCUCCCUCAAGGAAGUGUUUUCUGUCCACGUAGGCAAAGCGCUUCCUUGAGG